GGGGCUAUACUUUCAGGAUCAUUUCUAUAGUAUGUUACUAGAGAAGUUUCUCUGAUCGUGUAGAGUACCAGAAACCACGAGGAGGAGGUGUAGUGUUUCUUCCUGAGCGUGAAGCCGGCUCUUGGUGUUGCUUUGCUAUCCUGAUGAUUAAAUGGUGUAUGCCUAAUUGCCUGGCUUCAUAGUGAGCAUGCAGAUGUAUUAGAGGAACAAGAUUAAUGGG
rnacentral:snoRNA from 1 species